rnacentral:rRNA from 1 species
AUUGAACGCUGGCGGCAGGCCUAACACAUGCAAGUCGAGCGGCAGCGGAAAGUAGCUCGCUACUUUGCCGGCGAGCGGCGGACGGGUGAGUAAUGUCUGGGAAACUGCCUGAUGGAGGGGGAUAACUACUGGAAACGGUAGCUAAUACCGCAUAACCUCGAAAGAGCAAAGUGGGGGAUCUUCGGACCUCACGCCAUCGGAUGUGCCAGAUGGGAUUAGCUAGUAGGUGAGGUAAUGGCUCACCUAGGCGACGAUCCCUAGCUGGUCUGAGAGGAUGACCAGCCACACUGGAACUGAGACACGGUCCAGACUCCUACGGGAGGCAGCAGUGGGGAAUAUUGCACAAUGGGCGCAAGCCUGAUGCAGCCGAUGCCGCGUGUGUGAAGAAGGCCUUAGGGUUGUAAAGCACUUUCAGCGAGGAGGAAGGCAUCAUACUUAAUACGUGUGGUGAUUGACGUUACUCGCAGAAGAAGCACCGG